GGGAGCAUAGCUCAGCUGGGAGAGCAUCUGCCUUACAAGCAGAGGGUCAUAGGUUCGAGUCCUGUUGUUCCCACCA
rnacentral:tRNA from 1 species